UACGUAGGGUGCGAGCGUUGUCCGGAAUUACUGGGCGUAAAGAGCUCGUAGGUGGUUUGUCGCGUUGUUCGUGAAAUCUCACGGCUUAACUGUGAGCGUGCGGGCGAUACGGGCAGACUAGAGUACUGCAGGGGAGACUGGAAUUCCUGGUGUAGCGGUGGAAUGCGCAGAUAUCAGGAGGAACACCGGUGGCGAAGGCGGGUCUCUGGGCCGUAACUGACGCUGAGGAGCGAAAGCGUGGGGAGCGAACAGG
rnacentral:rRNA from 1 species